ensembl:lincRNA Gm44196 predicted gene, 44196
GACCAACGAAAUGAUCAGGCAGCAAUUUCUUUGUUCUGGAAAUUAGUUGAGACUAUUUAACAGCCUCGGGGGCCCUCCGCAGCACAGGGAACGAGGAUUCUCAGUGGAUAUUUCCUUUGCUGGAGGAGGAAAUCGUGUUGUGAGGAAAAUGAAACCGAGGAAGACUAGGACUAUUCAAAAUGAGGCCCAUACGCGGCUGCUGGUCCAAGUCUGGAUGAAGCCUAUGAGAUAAUCAGAAGACCUGAGCUGUGACAUUCAGGAACCUUUACAGCGAGACUGUGACAGUUGGCUGUCACAAUUUGCAAACAAGAUUGGGUUUUCCAUCUCUUUAUUAUUUCAGUUUCCUACUUUUGCUUGUUUAUUGCAUUUUUACCAAUGCACUUGUCUGCAUUGCUCAACAGAACUCCACAGAGACUCCAGAAGACUCACUGAUGCUACUGGGCUUCAAGAAAUCUCUUUACUGUCAUUAGAAUGCAUUGUCUCUGUGUUUUAAGGUGUAUGAGUCCACAUGAAUGUAGUGAGGAACACGGGACACAAGCAUUGAUUGUGGUUGCU